rnacentral:rRNA from 1 species
AUUGAACGCUGGCGGCAGGCCUAACACAUGCAAGUCGAACGAGUGGCGGACGGGUGAGUAAUGUCUGGGAAAAUGCCUGAUGGAGGGGGAUAACUAAUGGAAACGGUAGCUAAUACCGCAUAACAUCAGAUGUGCCCAGAUGGGCUUAGGUAGGUGGUGGGGUAACGGCUCACCAAGGCGACGAUCACUAGCUGGUCGGAGAGGAUGACCACACACACUUGAACUGGGACACGGUCCAGAUUCCUACGUGAGGCAGCAUUGGGGAAUAUUGCACAAUAGGCGCAAGCCUGAUGCAGCUAUGCCGCGUGUAUGAAGAAGGCCUUCGGGUUGUAAAGUACUUUCAGCGGGGAGGCGUUACCCGCAGAAGAAGCACCGGCUAACUCCGUGCCAGCAGCCGCGGUAAUUC